rnacentral:rRNA from 1 species
GUUCAGAUUGCAGGCUGCAACCCGCCUGCAUGAAGUCGGAAUUGCUAGUAAUCGCGGAUCAGCAUGCCGCGGUGAAUACGUUCCCGGGCCUUGUACACACCGCCCGUCACACCAUGGGAGCCGGUAAUACCCGAAGUCAGUAGUCCAACCUCGUGAGGACGCUGCCGAAGGUAGGAUUGGCGACUGGGGUGAAGUCGUAACAAGGUAGC